GUAGUACUCCCUCCGUUCGGAAUUACUCGUCCAAGAAAUGAAUGUAUCUAGAUGUAUUUUAGUUGUAGAUACAUCCAUUUUUGUGACAAGUAAUUCCGAACGGAGGGAGUAAAAC
rnacentral:pre_miRNA from 1 species